GACGAACGCUGGCGGCGUGCUUAACACAUGCAAGUCGAACGGAAAGGCCCUGCUUUUGUGGGGUGCUCGAGUGGCGAACGGGUGAGUAACACGUGAGUAACCUGCCCUUGACUUUGGGAUAACUUCAGGAAACUGGGGCUAAUACCGGAUAGGAGCUCCUGCUGCAUGGUGGGGGUUGGAAAGUUUCGGCGGUUGGGGAUGGACUCGCGGCUUAUCAGCUUGUUGGUGGGGUAGUGGCUUACCAAGGCUUUGACGGGUAGCCGGCCUGGGAGGGUGACCGGCCACAUUGGGCCUGAGAUACGGCCCAGACUCCUACGGGAGGCAGCAGUGGGGAAUAUUGCACAAUGGGCGGAAGCCUGAUGCAGCAACGCCGCGUGCGUGAUGACGGCCUUCGGGUUGUAAACCGCUUUCGCCUGUGACGAAGCGUGAGUGACGGUAAUGGGUAAAGAAGCACCGGCUAACUACGUG
rnacentral:rRNA from 1 species